rnacentral:rRNA from 1 species
CUGUGCAAAGGUAGCAUAAUCAUUAGUUUUUUGAUUGAGAGCUGGAAUGAAGGGUUUGAUGAGAAAAAUACUGUCUCAUUAUUAAGUUUAGAAUUUUAUUUUUAAGUUAAAAAGCUUAAAUGGAAUAAAAAGACGAGAAGACCCUAUAGAGUUUAAUAUUUUUAGUUUUAUCUUAUUUAGUUUUAAUAUGUGGUGAGUUGAGUAAGUAUUUUAUUGGGGUGAUAUAAAAAUUUAAUUAACUUUUUAUUUAUUAUUACAUUAUUUUAUGGUUAUUAGAUCCUUUAUUUAGGAUUAUAAGAAGAAAUUACCUUAGGGAUAACAGCGUAAUUAUUUUUGAGAGUUCUAAUCGAAAAAAUAGAUUGCGACCUCGAUGUUGGAUUAAAAUAAAGUUUUGGUGUAGGAGCUAAAAUUUUAAGUCUGUUCGACUUUUAAAAUU